UAGGUCUUGUAAUCCUCUGCGUCUCU
rnacentral:piRNA from 1 species